CUGACGCUGUCAUCUCCUGCUGGUUCUAACCCUUCUGUGCGGCUGUUUCCAACUUACCUGAAUCCCAACGACAGCAGAGCGCCUCUGUGCGUGUUGCACCUUACAUGCUAGUACACAUGUCUGUGCAUAUGUACAAGAAUUUUUCCAGGGUGUAUACCAAGAAGGAAAACUGUUGAGUGUUACGGAUGCACACUUUCAGGUGGACUCCAGACUGUCAAACUCCUGAUUAGAGACCAACUGCAGGGCAUUGUUGGGAGCCAUAACCUGAAGAUGGAUGAGCCACAGGAUGGAAGGAUCCGUGUCUCCCAGACACCACUGGAGAGCAGUCACCCCCACUGGAUUUGGAGAGAAGUCUCUAAUAUCCUCCUUUCAGUCCCAGCUGUAGUCUGCUUCUUUGAUUCUCUCAGCACUCAGCGUUCUCUGGGGGAAAUUCUAGAUUCUCAUAUCUUAUUCCUUCUUAAUAGGGAAAAGGCCUUUACGUACAUAUAUGUGAGGCAGAGCAGAUCAGGACAACAGAGCAGGCUGAAAACAGUGAGACUCCAUAGGAAAAGGAAGGCCUUGCAGAAGACUAGAGCAGUGGUAGAGAGUCAGGCAGCUGAGGGAGAUGGGCACCGGAGUCAGGGUGGGUCCUCAGGGCAUGCCAGCACCCACCAGAGCCUGGCAGAGCUAUUUAAAGAAAUUGAGAAAAAGCUCUACCUCCCACAGGCACAGAGGAUCAGGCUGAGGAUGAUGGGUAAAUCAGGGGUUAAUAUCUCCAUUGUAUCGAUGAAGAAAUUAAGUUUUAUAGAGAUUAAAAUAUUUGUCUUUGAAUCUAGUACAGUACUUAGUUCAUAGUAGAUGCACAGUAAAUAUUUGUUGAAUGAAUGAUUUACUAGUCUAACACUUUUAAUGCUGAAGCCUUCUACAGGGAUUGAGAACUUGUCUGUUUGGUGGUGUAUAGAGGGGUAUGGCGUUGGUACCCAGGAUGGACACACUGUGUUUGGAUACACUAUUUGAAAAAAAAAUUUUUUUUAAAGAUGUUAUUUAU